UCAGAAGUGCGAAUGCUGACAUAAGUAACGAUAAAGCGGGUGAAAAGCCCGCUCGCCGGAAGACCAAGGGUUCCUGUCCAACGUUAAUCGGGGCAGGGUGAGUCGACCCCUAAGGCGAGGCCGAAAGGCGUAGUCGAUGGGAAACAGGUUAAUAUUCCUGUACUUGGUGUUACUGCGAAGGGGGGACGGAGAAGGCUAUGUUGGCCGGGCGACGGUUGUCCCGGUU
rnacentral:rRNA from 1 species